AGGAAGAUGGGGCUGGGGAAUUCUUUUUGGUUUUCUGGUUUUGUUUUGCUCUGGUUUUGGUCGGGGUUUUGUAUUUUUCUAUUCUUCCUUGGUUUUAUUUUUUCCUUUUUUUCCUUUUUUUUUCUUUUGCUUUCCUGUCAUUCUCCCAGCCAAAAGCCGCCUUCGACCCUUUUGAUUUGAUGUAGCAAAGAGUGUGUGUCCAGAUUAUCUGAAAUAGACACUGAAGAAGCAGCAGCUCCUGCCUAAAGAUUUCCUCUUCUGAUUAAAGGCAUGAGGCUGUGCGCAGAAACAUUUCAUGCAGCAUGUUGGUUGGAGCAAAAGAGAAAAACAAAAGAAAGAGGAAAA
ensembl:antisense Dlx1as distal-less homeobox 1, antisense